UACGUAGGGGGCAAGCGUUGUCCGGAUUCAUUGGGCGUAAAGAGCGUGUAGGCGGCCAGGCAGGUCCGCUGUGAAAACUCGAGGCUCAACCUCGAGAUGUCGGUGGAAACCGUCUGGCUAGAGUCCGGAAGAGGAGAGUGGAAUUCCCGGUGUAGCGGUGGAAUGCGUAGAGAUCGGGAAGAACAUCAGUGGCGAAGGCGGUCUGCUGGGCCGUUGCUGACGCUGAGGCGCGACAGCGUGGGGAGCAAACAGG
rnacentral:rRNA from 1 species